GGGUAGCCUGUGUGUUACUGGCCUGGCAACCUAGUAGAAACAAAAUGGCGACUUUCAUAAACGCCAUUACGGUAGAAUUCCGUACUUCAAAUUUCUGUCUUUGACAAACAGCACAGAAAGGGAACCACUAUGUCUUCAACAAGCGCUCUCUCCUCAACUUUUGUCAAUGGUAGGCCAGACGGGACAGGUAGGCCUUCAGAGAUCAGUGUUCUCCUCUCUUCAUCUGUGAGAAAGAAGGGCUGCUUCUCUUGGAUCUGAAAGCCUCGGCCACUACCAUAUCCUUUCAGAUGCGGCAUCAUUUCCAAAGCACCAGACCAUUAUAAAAUCCGCGAUGAGUACCUUUGACGAUCGCUGGGCCCUGCGAUGUGUUACCGCUGGGCCAGGGACUUGAGGACUUCAAGACAGGCUUUGUAGCAGAAAAUGUACUGAUCCUAUUGGAGAAUAAUAAAACUUACGGGGGUUGGAAA